rnacentral:rRNA from 1 species
AUAUCAAUAAGCGGAGGAAAAGAAACCAACAGGGAUUACCUCAGUAACGGCGAGUGAAGCGGUAACAGCUCAAAUUUGAAAGCUGCCAACAGGCCGCGUUGUAAUUUGUAGAAGAUGCUUUGGGGAUCGGCCUGGUCUAAGUUCCUUGGAACAGGACGUCAUAGAGGGUGAGAAUCCCGUACGUGACCGGUGCCGGCACCCGUGUAAAGCUCUUUCGACGAGUCGAGUCGUUGGGAUUGGGAU